GGAAGAGGCUCGCAAUUGGAGCGGUUGACGGGCGUCGCUGAAGGAGGAAGGGGGCGAAAAAGACACGGGGGACCUUGGAGGACUUCAUGAUCCAAGACGGACCCAAGGCAGCAGAAUUAAGGACAAAGAAGAGACAAAUCUGUUGAUACAGGGUACAUCUGAAAGAGAAAAGGCAGAGUGAAAAGAAACCUUUCUAGAUCUCUUGGCAGAUGUGAACAGAUUCGCCCUCUAUAUGAGUGUAAAAAGAGAAGAAGAUACCAUUGCAGCCUGUAGAAGCUGGAAAAGGCAAGGAAAUAAAGUCUCCCCUAGAACCUCGGGAAGGAAGGCGUCUCUGUUGACACCUUGACUUUAGUU